rnacentral:rRNA from 1 species
GAUGAACGCUGGCGGCGUGCCUAACACAUGCAAGUCGAACGAGAUGCGUAUUGGAAAGCUUCGGCCGGCAGAUGCGUUAUCUAGUGGCGGACGGGUGAGUAACACGUGGGUAACCUGCCUUAUGGAGGGGGAUAACAGAGAGAAAUCACUGCUAAUACCGCAUAAGCACACAUUGCCGCAUGGCAGAGUGUGAAAAGAUUUAUCGCCAUAAGAUGGACCCGCGUCUGAUUAGCCAGUUGGCAGGGUAAAAGCCUACCAAAGCAACGAUCAGUAGCCGAUCUGAGAGGAUGACCGGCCACAUUGGGACUGAGACACGGCCCAAACUCCUACGGGAGGCAGCAGUGGGGAAUAUUGCACAAUGGGGGAAACCCUGAUGCAGCGACGCCGCGUGAGUGAAGAAGUAUUUCGGUAUGUAAAGCUCUAUCAGCAGGGAAGAUAAUGACAGUACCUGACUAAGAAGCCCCGGCUAACUACGUG